AAUCUGGGAACAGGAGAGGGCUAGGCAGGCGGCGAGCUGAGACCGAGCCAAAGACGGGAGGGGACUAGCGGGAAGACCCGAGGGCGGUGGGCCUGGCGCGCAUCUACGGAGGAGCUGGCUGCUGGAGCCGGCCAGUCACAAAGACUUUGAUAAAAGUGGGAACUCUGCGAGCAAGGCCUGUUCCCUAUCCUUACUCUCAAGUAUCUCUCCCCACAUCUCUUAAGAUAUCUGGCUGGAGUCUUACAUCUCUGGCUCUAUUAGUGCAUUAGUGCGUAACUGGGCCAGAGGGGAAUCAUUACCUUUUUGGGACAAAUUUCUUUGCCUGGCUUGCUUAACCAGCCACACACAUACAAAAAAAAAGAUGAGACAGAAUUGGGAAAGAAUGAGGGCAUGAUUUAAAAGCGAUCCUUUCUAAAAUUUAAUUAAAAUAAAUAAAUAAAACAAUCCUUUCUAGACUACCUAUGACCCAUUUGACUAUUAAGCAGCCUCCUGCCUCCCCAGAGUCUGCAGAGAAAUGGGGGGACAGAGUUUAGGAGUUGCUGAAACCCCAUCGAGUAGCAUACGUCAGUUUCCUAAUGAUCAUGCCUUUGGGCAUCGUGCCAAGAUUUUCUCCAACUUCAUUUUGUGUUCUCCAGCUCCCCCACCCCUAGACCUAAAGGGAGAAGAGGGAAGCUAAUGGAGAUGAAGCAGAAGUUCCUUCCAGGGCUAGCACAAACAGCAGCUGACACUCUUUCCCAUUCUAUCGCCCAAACCCAAGUGUGUAGCAGCCUGCUGGAAAGCCCCUGGAAAUUCGCCUAACCACCUUCCUUGGUCUCCAAAGAAGUUAACAAAAAUAAUUCUGCUUUCUUCUGAGUUCUGCAUCAACCUAAUCUGCUUUCAUCAAGCUACUGCAAUGAACAGGAGAUACAGGCUUGGGAAAUUCAAGAAAGCCCAACCAGGCAGUUUGGUUUGUAUUUGGGGGUGGAGAGGAUAAGAGUGUUUCUUGCUCUUAGAAAGGACCUGAGUUCAGAUCUCAGUUCCCACAUGGGGGAGGGGGACUCACAACCACCUGUAAACUCCAGCUCCAGGUGAUCUGAUGUUUACGUCUGGCCUGGAGGCAUACAUGCAGACAGAAUACUGUACACAUAAAUAAUAAAAAAAAAAAAUCUUUAAAAAAAAAAGUUAAC
rnacentral:lncRNA from 1 species